rnacentral:rRNA from 1 species
UACGGAGGGUGCGAGCGUUGUCCGGAAUCAUUGGGCGUAAAGGGCGCGUAGGUGGCGGGACAAGCGUGCGGUGAAAGCCUGGGGCUCAACCCCGGGUCGGCCGUGCGAACUGUUUUGCUUGAGCACUGUAGAGGCAGGCGGAAUUCCGGGUGUAGCGGUGGAAUGCGUAGAGAUCCGGAAGAACACCGGUGGCGAAGGCGGCCACCUGGACGGUAACUGACGCUGAGACGCGAAAGCGUGGGGAGCAAACAGG